rnacentral:lncRNA from 1 species
CCGCCCCGGGGCGCGGGGCGGCGAGGGGAGGAGGAGGAGGAGGAGGAGGGUAGUUUGCCGGGGCAGAGAGGGAUGGGCCUGCGGGCUCCGGGUUGGCUCCUGGGAGCGGCGCCGCUCUGCUUUUCAAGAUCGUGAAUAGAUCAACAGGAAUGUGUGAGACCAGUCCCUUCAGUUGGAUAUCACCUUUCCAGGAGUGGAUCUGGAGGACAUACUGGUGGUUUUGUGUGGGCAGGUGAGAUGUUGCCUACCAAACUAGUCAUGACAAACAGAGGGAGAAGUUGGAAAUCUGUCUGAAGAUGCCUCAAAGCAAUGCAUAUUCCUAUACCUAAUUUUAAUUUGCUUGCUAACCAAGGAGGACAAAGUCAUUGCUACUACUUGGACACUGUUGGUUUUUUUCUUCAGUCUUUCUAUCAAAUGUCAGUAUUCCUUCUCUUUUUUGAUGUGGGGAAAUCACACAAGAAUCUACAUGGAAAUGCAACCUGGCAAAAUGGAAAUAUGAGGCUUCAUAAAUAAUCCCAGUUUGUUCUAUUGUUUUUAUCUGCUGAAUAUGCUCAGAGAAGUUGUGUAAUUGAAUGUGGCAUGUGUAAAAUCAAAGGUCUAAGAAAAAAAUCGAGAUGACUGUCAAAAGCUUUUUGCUGUUGUAGUAGAAGACUAGAAAAAAAUGAGUUUCUUUCAUUAGCAUCUCAUCGUCAAUAGUGUUGAACAGCCCGAUUACGGCAGCCAGAUAGAUAGAAAAUAAAUGUUUACAUCUUGCCAUGGCCUCUCUGAGAGAAUGCUGGUAAGAACUCAUUACACUGACUCUUGUGAGAGCAAAACCAUCAAACUUAGGAAUUCUUUCUUAGGUUUUUUUGUGUAUUUUGGUUCCUCCUUGCAGUUUAGAAUUUGGUCAGGCAACUGGCCCAUGUAUUUUUAGAACUGGUUCUGAAAUUUGUUUAUCCUAUUCUGAUCAUUAUCUUUGUCCUGCCUUUUUUUACUGUAGUUUAUGACUUAUUCCAUUUUAAUUUUGGUUUUUUUUUUGGUAAAUCUUUUCCUGUAGUAUGAAAAUAAUAUUAGUGCAUUUAUUGUGCCUUCUGUGAACAACUCAUUUCUAUUUGACUCCUCGCAAAGUGACUGCAGUCACGGAAGUAGAGUUUGUCAGCCACAAUAAGGUUCUUUUGAGACAGAUAAACAACCGGGAGUUGAAAGCUUAUCUGUUAUGAAAAUGAUUUGUCUCAUGUUAUGAGUCACCUGGGAGUUUGAAUAUGGCAGAGUGACUGGUAGUGUAAGGUCAAUCCCUGUAUGAAAUUCAGUGCCAACCAGAAAAUGCCUGAAACAUGUGCAAGUCUGGUUUAACUGCUUUUUCUGUUUCUGUUCAGUGCUGCCCUGUGCUCUGUUUUGAAGAGUGUUGUUAAGGCAUAUGCUACUCAAUACUUUCCAACUUGAAAAUACACAAAGUUUGUAGUGUGAGGAAUCAGCUGAAAUUGUGCUGGAGGAUUUUUAUUUUAAUUUUUUAUUUAUAUAUUUAUUAAAUUCAGAACUGGCAUAA